GGGGCUAUAGCUCAGCUGGGAGAGCGCAACACUGGCAGUGUUGAGGUCCGCGGUUCGAUCCCGCGUAGCUCCACCA
rnacentral:tRNA from 2 species